CGCCCCCUUGGCGCCCCACCUCCCGGGCUCUCCUACGGCCCCGCCCACUUAGCGCCCACCCGACCUUCGGCGCUUCGGCGCUCACCCCCGCGUUCCCGGUUCACCGUGGACCCCUACCCCGUACCCCCCGCGCCCACCCCCACCGCUGCGCCCAUCCCCGGCGCAACCUUGAGAACCUCUCGAGACUCCCGCCUCACCCCCGCGCCCUCCUCGCGCGAUCGAGCCCUGCCCGGGCUGCCCCACUCCCGGCGAGGUGAGUUCCGCGACCAGCCCCCAAAGCUGCUUGUUUUGUGAGGGAUACAAAGAGCUUAUGCAUCAGUUCCGCACUCACCAAAUUUCUAAUCCAGGAUAUGUGCGAUCUCCUUUGGGAGAUGAAGGCUCUAACUUCAAAAAUUUGUCUGAGGACUUCUGACUCUGGCCGGAUGGUGUCACCGGUACCAGAGUUGCUCUCCCACCUUAAUCAACUAGAAAACUGAACAAAACCUAGGAGACAGCUGCUUUUGGCUACUGGAUAACAGGCAACAAGGGACUGUGGUCCCUGAGAGAGUGAUCACAAAUAAGAGAGUCCUGUGGUUGCCCUGGCUUUCCAUCCAGAGGCACUUCCAGAAUCCCAGCAGAGUGGGGAAGGCUCAAGCCUGAAGAGACGGAGAUGGGUAUGUGGAGAGACAGAGGCAGCUGGAACUCAUCGGGCAGAACAUGGACAGGAGAGAGCUAUGCAAAGUGGUCCAGAAAUCCGUGUGCGGCUACCCUGAAGCCUUUGCUGAACACCUGGCUGCCCAGGCAUGGGAUGUGAUGACAAAGAACAAUCGUCAGACCUCCCACAGGGCUGGGAGAUGCUGAGAUCUGACAACCAGAGGGGAGAGACUGGGUGAACACCCAGUGUCAGCAGGCAGUGGAGAAACCAGAGACUGACUUCUCAGUAACGGGGCUCUACUACCUCUAGGUAAAGGCAUUUGUUGUAUUUAAAUGAACCAAUCUUCUAAGAACUGGCUUACUUUUUAGGACCAUGAAAAGUCCUAGUUCUAGUUUUCUUAAUGUUUGUAUACAUAGCUUAACUAUUUUCUACAUGCCCAGAUCCCACAGAGACACCCUGGCACCAUCAGUUUGAGGCUUAAAGUUGGAAGUUUAGGCAUUUUAUUAGGAAUAGUUACAAAAUUAAAGCCUACCGUCAAAAGAAGAUUAAUUUUAAUAACUUUUAUUUGUGUAGCACUGUAUGCUUUCUUUUUAAAGUAUAGAGCAUGUAAUGCAAAUUAAAUGUUAUUUUUUUAAAGUGUAAGUUAUAGAUAACACAAAGAAGAAAAUCAGAUGGCCUAUAAUGCCACCAUUGACAGAUAACAAUUCUUUGUACUGUGUCCUUUUUAAAGAGUACUUUAUCAUACAUUAUCUCAUUUGGUCAUCACAACAGCUGAUUACGCAGAUGGAGUGCAUAUUAUUAUCCACAUUUUACAGAUAAAAUUAAGUGGCUUGCAUAAAGACACUCUGCUUAACGGCCAGGAAGCCAGACCUGGGCUCAGAUACUCUGACUGUAGAUGCUUCUAGUCCCUGGGAGUUGAAGUUCCCAAUGAACUAUUCCCAAAACAGUCUUCAGUUAGCUUUUCCAUUAAGGUGGAAAAGAGGCCAAGAAAACAGUUCAACUGUAACCAGCAAAUAAACUUUUUAGGCUUAAAUAGUUAAGGGAAACCUUUCAGGAAAGUGAAGAGAAAUGCAUUCAGGAGAAAUGCACUGAGACUCAUCUUUCCCUGAGUCGAAGAAAGAGGCUGGGUUUCAUUUCACUUUCGGGUAGCAGAUUUUAUGAGAGAGAGGAGGAAAUCCUAAUUUAUAUAUCACACACUAGGUGAGAGAGCAAGGUAACCCUGAUCGAGAAUUACACUGGGAUAAUUUGAGGAUGCAACUAAGAGGGGGGAAAGCCUGAAGUUUAAAUUGUCAUUUUGUAAAUCAAAGAAGAAUAAAGAAUUCUCCCAUUUCUCCAA